rnacentral:rRNA from 1 species
GAUGAACGCUGGCGGCGUGCCUAAUACAUGCAAGUCGAGCGAACAGACGAGGAGCUUGCUCCUCUGACGUUAGCGGCGGACGGGUGAGUAACACGUGGAUAACCUACCUAUAAGACUGGGAUAACUUCGGGAAACCGGAGCUAAUACCGGAUAAUAUAUUGAACCGCAUGGUUCAAUAGUGAAAGACGGUUUUGCUGUCACUUAUAGAUGGAUCCGCGCCGCAUUAGCUAGUUGGUAAGGUAACGGCUUACCAAGGCAACGAUGCGUAGCCGACCUGAGAGGGUGAUCGGCCACACUGGAACUGAGACACGGUCCAGACUCCUACGGGAGGCAGCAGUAGGGAAACUUCCGCAAUGGGCGAAAGCUUGACGGAGCAACGCCGCGUGAGUGAUGAAGGUCUUCGGAUCGUAAAACUCUGUUAUUAGGGAAGAACAAAUGUGUAAGUAACUAUGCACGUCUUGACGGUACCUAAUCAGAAAGCCACGGCUAACUACGU